GAAAUGCGAUAAGUAGUGUGAAUUGCAGAAUUCAGUGAAUCAUCGAAUCUUUGAACGCACAUUGCGCCCUUUGGUAUUCCAAAGGGCAUGCCUGUUCGAGCGUCAUUUGUACCCUCAAGCUUUGCUUGGUGUUGGGCGUCUUGUCUCUAGCUUUGCUGGAGACUCGCCUUAAAGUAAUUGGCAGCCGGCCUACUGGUUUCGGAGCGCAGCACAAGUCGCACUCUCUAUCAGUAAAGGUCUAGCAUCCAUUAAGCCCUUUUUCAACUUUUGACCUCGGAUCAGGUAGGGAUACCCGCUGAACUUAAGC
rnacentral:misc_RNA from 1 species